GAUGAACGCUGGCGGCGUGCCUAAUACAUGCAAGUCGAGCGAACGGACGAAAAGCUUGCUUCUCUGAUGUUAGCGGCGGACGGGUGAGUAACACGUGGAUAACCUACCUAUAAGACUGGGAUAACUUCGGGAAACCGGAGCUAAUACCGGAUGAUAUUUUGAACCGCAUGGUUCAAAAGUGAAAGACGGUCUUGCUGUCACUUAUAGAUGGAUCCGCGCUGCAUUAGCUAGUUGGUAAGGUAACGGCUUACCAAGGCAACGAUGCAUAGCCGACCUGAGAGGGUGAUCGGCCACACUGGAACUGAGACACGGUCCAGACUCCUACGGGAGGCAGCGUAGGGAAUCUUCCGCAAUGGGCGAAAGCCUGACGGAGCAACGCCGCGUGAGUGAUGAAGGUCUUCGGAUCGUAAAACUCUGUUAUUAGGGAAGAACAUAUGUGUAAGUAACUGUGCACAUCUUGACGGUACCUAAUCAGAAAGCCACGGCUAACUACGUG
rnacentral:rRNA from 1 species